rnacentral:rRNA from 1 species
UACGAAGGGGGCGAGCGUUGUUCGGAUUUACUGGGCGUAAAGCGUGCGCAGGCGGUUUUGUAAGUCUGUCGUGAAAUCCCCGGGCUCAACCCUGGGAAUUGCGAUGGAGUACUGCAAGGCUAGAAUCUGGCAGAGGGGGGUAGAAUUCACGUGUGAGCAGUGAAAUGCGUAGAGAUAGUGGAGGAACACCAGUGGCGGAAGGCGGCUCACUGGACUGGUAUUGACGCUG